GGGAAAAGAUCCUAAAGAGAUUUCUAAUUUAGAUGAAUCUGAUGACGAAUCUAUUGCGAAACCAAAGGCCCAGGAUGAAUAUGGGUGCGUUGCUUACUUACCAGUUCCACCGCCAUCAGAUGUAUUGAAAUCAUUGGAAGAGAAACGAUUGAAAUUAUGUGAUUACUACGAUUCUUCGGACUUGACAAUUAGUGAUGAGAUAUUAACUUUCAUGAAAGAGUGUUAUUAUUUGCAACGCAAAAUAAUUCACAAAGAAAAAGAUUUAUCAAUAAUUUUCGAACAGUAGCCCUAUUUCUAUAAUUAUAAAAUAAUUAUACAACAUGCAAAUCAGCUGUUAGGAAAAAAUACAGAUUCAAUAUGGAAAGAAUCAUUGAAUAAUUUGGCCAAACCAGUUAACUGCUGGUUCAAACAUGAAGAAAUAGCUCGAGAAGUCAAAGCCAAAAAUAAAAAAAACCAGGGCGAUGAUGACAAAAGAUACAUACGAGAGACUUUGAAAACAGCGAAGAAAUAUAGUGACACUUUGAAAAAUAAUGAGCCAUACCAGACGGUCAUCUUUGGAUUUAUUUCCAAAUUUAUGAAGGAAGACGUUAACUUUCUAUGUCUUAAUUGAUAUAAGAAGAAGUGACUGAUGAGGAGUUAAUUCAACACGUACCUGUUACAAACCCUGUGUUAAUAAUUCGAGGACAAGAUUUACAUCAUAGCCAGAAUUGGUACAAUGUCGCAAUUGAAAAGAAAAUAAUUUUGCACGCUGAGUCAUUCAACGAUGGAUUGUUGACUACUUUUUUAAGUUUCUACGUAUUUGGUAUUGUUUACCCUAAAGAAAUCGAGGGAACAUUGGAGACAAUUCAACGGUUAGUGUUAAAAAAUCCUAUUAUUAUUUAACU